rnacentral:rRNA from 1 species
UACGAAGGGGGCUAGCGUUGCUCGGAAUCACUGGGCGUAAAGCGCACGUAGGCGGGUCGUUAAGUCGAGGGUGAAAUCCUGGAGCUCAACUCCAGAACUGCCUUCGAUACUGGCGGCCUUGAGUCCGGGAGAGGUGAGUGGAACUGCGAGUGUAGAGGUGAAAUUCGUAGAUAUUCGCAAGAACACCAGUGGCGAAGGCGGCUCACUGGCCCGGUACUGACGCUGAGGUGCGAAAGCGUGGGGAGCAAACAGG